rnacentral:rRNA from 1 species
UACGAAGGGGGCUAGCGUUGCUCGGAAUCACUGGGCGUAAAGCGCACGUAGGCGGAUUGUUAAGUCAGGGGUGAAAUCCUGGAGCUCAACUCCAGAACUGCCUUUGAUACUGGCGAUCUCGAGUCCGGGAGAGGUGAGUGGAACUGCGAGUGUAGAGGUGAAAUUCGUAGAUAUUCGCAAGAACACCAGUGGCGAAGGCGGCUCACUGGUCCGGUACUGACGCUGAGGUGCUAAAGCGUGGGGAGCAAACAGG